rnacentral:misc_RNA from 1 species
AUGAAUAUCAACAUUAUUUACCCUAAAUAUUAAAAAUAAAAUAAACUUAAUUUGCUCUCUCUGCUUCUCUUGAGCCUUCCAUCAAACAAAUUGCGGGCAUCACAAUAUAGAAUAACCAGUAGAAGGAAUGAAAAUCCCAAUUAAUUGUUGAUUCAUCAUAACCCAAUCUCUAACCAGAAACUCACGAGCUUCACCAUUAAUCUCUAUAUUGUGGCAAUGGGUAUGAAACAUGGAGAGGUGGAGGGGGCAAAGGCUAUGGUUGUGGUCAUGGAAGGAUGGGCUGUGAUGAUUAUGGAAGGAUGAGAUCACUGAUACACUCGACUUCGCCAUGCCUAGCUAGCUGCCAGAUGAUGAGCAAUACCUUCAAAGCCAUGCCUUUCACCCUUUGACGAAGAACCUUUUAACCUUUGACGAAGAAGAAGAAGAUGGGCGGCGAUGAUUAUGGAAGGAUGAGAUCGCUAAUACGCUUGACUUCACCAUGCCUAGCUAGCUGCCAGAUGAUGAGCAAUACCUUCAAAGCCAUGCCUUUCACCCUUUGACGAAGAACCUUUUAACCUUUGACGAAGAAGAAGAAGAUGGGCGGCGAUGAUUAUGGAAGGAUGAGAUCGCUAAUACGCUUGACUUCA